rnacentral:lncRNA from 1 species
GUGGACUUUCCCCAGUUUACAGAGGAAGAAACUGAGGACUGGGAAGUUACAUAACUUGCCCAAGGGCUCCUUGUGAGAGAGCAGAGGACUUGGGAACUGAACCAAGGAUUUUCUGAAAGUAAUAAGAAGAGGAAGCCUGAGUCUGUGCUGAAGCGUUCAGGGAGCAGAGAUGUAUUGAGAGGUGAUGAGCGAAGAGAGAGGGCGUAGUGAAUGCAAGUCCAGGCAGCCUGGCCUCUUGGGCGGGAAGCUGCUGAAGGUUCCACUUGAGAAAGAUUAAAAGGAUCCAAUACACCUGCUGGUUAACCCCAGGGUUGAACAGUCCGCUCGAGAUAAGAACAGCUGUCGACCUUCCUUCCUUUCACUGAGUACCUGAUCAGAGAAGAAAAUCCAAAGAUCUCAUAGCUUCCUGGUGGCAAGCUAGACCCACAAUCCCAGAUGCCGGACUCCCUGUCAGAAGCUAAUGAGGAUAAAGUACCCUGUCCAGUGUCUGGAACAUAAACCGAC